GACAGCUUGCCCGAGCGGUUAAGGGGGUAGACUCGAAAUCUACUGGGCUUUGCCCGCACUGCUUCAAGUCCAGUAGCUGUCG
rfam:Gregarina niphandrodes unplaced genomic scaffold scaffold00092, whole genome shotgun sequence.